rnacentral:rRNA from 1 species
UACAGAGGGUGCGAGCGUUAAUCGGAAUUACUGGGCGUAAAGCGUGCGUAGGCGGUUCGUUAAGUCAGAUGUGAAAGCCCCGGGCUUAACCUGGGAACGGCAUUUGAUACUGGCGAACUAGAGUUUAAUAGAGGGGAGUGGAAUUUCAGGUGUAGCGGUGAAAUGCGUAGAUAUCUGAAGGAACACCAGUGGCGAAGGCGACUCCCUGGAUUAAAACUGACGCUGAGGUACGAAAGCGUGGGUAGCAAACAGG